UUCUCUGGCCGCAGGAGAUAUGUAAUUUUGGACGGUUUGUUGAAUCAGCUGCCUCAACCGGAAGUGUAUCAGUGAUGUAUGUUGUCGACCUUACGACGGCUGCCUAUUAUCAAAGUGUCACGAUCCAGAUUGUGGAGGUUACCGAUCUCCACUGCGUCCAAGUCCAAUUGAUGCCAUUCCUAAUCCUUGGGUCUCCACGGAUUCAGAACAGAUAUCAAAUGACAUAGAGUCGUCCAACUGAUGCCAUCUUCGUGCAUGCGUUUCCAACUCGCGAGCAGCUAGGUUUCGGAUGCAAGGUAAGCAAAAAUCCAUGAACACUUAAUUAUUUUCUGAGCUCUUUGAUAUUGUCCAUAGUUAAUUGAGCUUAAGAGUCAAAUUGUUCUGCUACCCUUUCAAAGCUCCACACCAUUAGAGAGCCAGUUUUCUUAACGCCAUUAGCCAUGGUUCAAAAUAUGAAAUUGAAUAGUAAUUUUUAGAAAAGCUUCACAUAAAUUUGUUACUUUCAAAAGCGUCGCAAUAGUAAAUUAGCUCCCCACCUUUUGAAAAUGAAAACUCAUUGGAGAGACAUUGAAGAUAUUAUUAAAUGUUAAAACUACCAGUUUUUCUUCCAAUUUCAUUCUCUAAUUGGUUUGAGCAGGUAAAAUUUUGGCUACGGCGGAAGGUAUUUGGUCUUUUAGUUGAUAUACACAAAUGAAGAAUAGGAAAAGGAAGAAGGAGGGGGUCACUGCCACCGUGAGUGUGGUGAGUAGAAAGAGAGGUGAAGAGUGAG